GGGAUCGUGCCCCUUGUUAGACCUCAUGGGUCGUAAAUAUGUUAGGACCGUGACCACGUUUUAAAUGUAGGACCCAAUGAAGACAGAUAGAGAAGUUUAUGAAAUCAAGCUGGCCAGGCUAUAUAGAUUAUCAUAACAUCUCUAAGUGUUCUCAGGGUUAAGGUUGACUUGAGCAAAUAAUUAUGUAGUGGCAGAGCAAUAACACCGAGUGUAAGGGAAAUAAUUUGCUUUAUUCAUUGCUUGAAAAUGUGAAGGUUACAAGCAUA
rnacentral:lncRNA from 1 species